CUGCCCUCACACAAACACUGCGAAGAGGGAAGUCUUCUUGUGUGGAGAAGGUCCUCAGCGCAAACAUACAUGUCAAGGCAUGGCUUGUCAGACACAAACCCCAAAGUGAGAUACAUACAGCGACAUGGCAUCCUGCAAUCAUAUGAUUAAGACGCAUGGCUACAUCAGCACCACCAUCUUGUGUGACAAUCCCUUUCAACACAACAGGAUGGGGGAGUCCGACUCCCGGCACGCCCACUUUGCUGUGAUUGGUCACACUACUUCCUGACUACUCGGAACACACUUUCAACAACAACAACAACAACAACACUUUCUGGGUAUAGCUACUGGCUGAAGACCCCUGAUUUACCCCGGGCUCACACUGAAUCUGUCGUGGCUACGGUCCUGAACCAA